AAGCUUCAGAAUGAUCACUUACCAACCAUGUAAGAUUCCCUUCAUCAUAUGCAUGAAAUAGAUUCAAAUAAUCUGUACAUUAAAUCAAACAAACAUACCCUCCAUCAAUACACUUAAAACUUUCAAUAUUAUAUAAUAAAUACAUAGGGAGAAUGUCUUACAUGGUUUCCUUUCACAUUAGCCAUAAUAAAAGCAAAUUGUUCUUUUACUGAUCAAAUUCAGCAACUUUUGCUUUUAGCGCUUCAACUUCAACAACUUGUGUAGUUAGCGCAUCAAUUUCGCUUUACAUCUUGGCUAUUUUGACAUCCGCAACUAAUGUUGAAUGACGAGAACUAUGUCCAAAAAUCUGAGAUGGUGUUACACCAAGUCCUACUCCUCGAACAUACCCAUUAUGCUCUUCCCCGAACACUUUCACAAAGGAUUGAUUCACCGAAUUCGAUGCACAAAUUUCUUUUUGUAACUCUUCC
rnacentral:lncRNA from 1 species